CCGGUGGAUUGGAGAGUGGCUCAUGCUGUUCCGUUGUUUAAAAAAGGAUCGAAAAGUAAUGCUGGAAAUUAUAGGCCGCAAAUGAUUAUGAUGCGCACUCUCGAGGAAUUCUGCAGAUGCUGGAAAUUCAAGCAACACACAUCAAAGUUGCUGGUGAACGCAGCAGGCCAGGCAGCAUCUCUAGCAAGAGGUUUGUGGUUGGUAAAGAAAACUAAUGGAACAGAGAAGCCCCUAUAGAUCAGCAUCUGC